rnacentral:lncRNA from 1 species
AAGAGCUCCUACCUCCUCUGUUCUUUUAAUCUCCUGCUGCGGGUGGCAGACAUGGGAGAGACAGGCAAGCUGCAAAGGGAAGUCGACGAAAUAAAAUUAAAGCCCUACAAUCGUGUUCGUGUCAAUGUAGAUGGGGUGCCCCCCUCGGUUUGCUCACAGAGGUGGGUGUGAGAUCCUACAGGACGGUCUGGAAGACAUCCCAUGGAAGGCACUUUAUUUUGCCCAGAAGCUGGAGGAAAAGCAGAAGGGCGCUGAACACUGACUAAGAGGAGAGAGCGCACAUUACAUGGAGACCAUGGUCCCCAUACCAGAAACAUGAGAGUAGAGAGAAGCAAAGCCAGCAUCGUGGAGCCAGUCCCUUUAUCCAGGAUCUUGGAGGGAUACAGUCUUCUGUAGAAAUUAAAUAAAGACUGAAUUCUUCAAUGGGUAUUUUGAGAAGAGAGCCACUGUAAGCUUAUACACUGUGAAUUGCAAAAUGUUACUGCCUCUGGGUGGACAGGUUUUAAAAAGACUUUUUUUUUUCCUCCUGGCAUGGCUGACAGAGGGAAGGCUGGGUUUCAAUCCCAUCUUUCCCUUCCCUUGCCCAGUGCUUCUUUAUGUGCACAACCUGCACAACUAUAUGUGGUUUGCAAACACGCAUAAGCAAAGACUAACAGCUUCUGAAACAAACUCUGAAUAAAAGAGGGAGCAUAUUAAGGCAGAUGGCAGAGGAGGUGAGCAGCAUGGGCAGAUAGAAGCAUCACAGAGACUACAAGAAGAAUGUGCCAGACCGGCUCAUAGUGGCCACACUGAUUAAGAAUUACCAUCAGCUCUUUAGGAUUUGGAAACUUGGAAACACAUUGUGUGUUCUUCCUGGUUUGUUAUAGAGUAUGUGUAUGUACUUCUUUCUCUUAAAAAUAUUUAUUUUUAAAGAAUUGACUUAUAAAAUUAUAUGUAUUUGUCAUGUAUAACACAAUAUUUUGAAGUACAGUCCUGUGUCAUAAGGAUAUGUUCUGAGAAAUCCAUCAAUUUUGUCAUUGUAUAAACAUGAUAGAGUGUAUUUACACAAACCUAGGUGGUAUAAACUACUACACACCUAGGCUACAUAAUGUAGCCUAUUGCUCCUAGGCUAUAAACCUGUAUAACAUGCUACUGUACUAAAUACUAUAGACAAUAGUCACAUACUGGUGAGUAUUUGCGUAUCAAAACAUAUCUAAAUAUAGAAAAGAUGCAGUAAAAAUAUGGUAUUACAAUCUUAUGAGACCACUAUAGUAUAUGAGGUCCAUCAUUGAUUAAAACAUAGUUAUAUGGUGCAUGACUGUAUAUAUGCAUUGUGGAAUGGUUAAAUCUAGCUAACUAACAAAUGUGUUAUAUCACAUAGUUAUUAUUUUUGAGGUGAGAAUACAAUAUUCACUCUCUUAGCAUUUUUUAAGAAUACAGUAUAUUAACUAUAGUCACCAUGCUGAAUGGUAGAUCUCUGGAACUAAUUUCUCCUAUCUAAGUGUGAUUAUGUACCCUUUGACCAACAUCUUUCUAACCCCACCCCACAAACACCCCAUAAUAAAGCCUCUUGUAACCACCAAAAAAAAAAAAAAAA